rnacentral:lncRNA from 1 species
GACAAUGUCCCCAAGGCUCUGGCUGGGCCACUAAGAGGUCAGUCGGUUCUUGCUGGAACCCAGGGUUCCUGUCCUGAAGAAAUCCCCACCAAGGAACUCAGAGGAACUCCAGGGAAGGUGGGUGACUUGGGGGAGGGAGGCGACAUCACUCUGCCUGAUCGUCAUUCCUGAGCCUGCCAUGCUCCUUCUUGGUGACUAUGACAUGAGCAUGCUUUAACUAUAAAAAGCAGAGUUAAAAAUAGCUGGCUUGACGUGAGGCCCAGGGAAGAGAGAGACUCCCCCGCUCCACGCGCAGGAGUGACGUGGAGUCACCCAAGCUUCCAGAACUGUCACUGCUGCCUCCUCCUCCUAGCUGCAAGGACCUCAGCUUCAUGGGUUUACUGACACUCUGCUCAGAAGCCUUUCUACCACUUCAUCAUCUCCGAGAGACAGCAUGGCCGCAGUGUCUCCCAGCUGCCAUCUCCCUUCCCGCAUGGCUUCUCCAGACUACUGAAAGCAUGCCCGAGAGUCAGGGUGGCAGCCCAGGGGACACUUGUUCAAAUUCUAUAUCUAUGUUCAAAUUCUAUCCCUCUUUCUUUCUUGCUGUGUGAUCUUGAAUGACCUCUUCGUGGUGUCUCCAUUUCUACAUUGAUGAAAAGCAGGGUCUAGAAUACAGGAAAGAUGAACGGCUUGCUCCGGAACAUCACCUGCCAGCCUGGUUCUGGAACAGCUCUGUACCUGCCAGCC